rnacentral:rRNA from 1 species
CCGGCGCACGGGUGAGUAACACGUAUGAAACCUGCCUGCCACAGCCGGAUAAUCGGGAGAAAUUCCGUCUAAUACGGCAUAAUGCAUCGACGGGACAUCCUGUUGGUGCCAAAGGUUAAUUCCGGUGGCGGAUGGGCAUGCGUCGCAUUAGUUAGUUGGCGGUGUAACGGACCACCAAGACGACGAUGCGUAGGGGUUCUGAGAGGAAGGUCCCCCACACUGGUACUGAGACACGGACCAGACUCCUACGGAAGGCAGCAG